rnacentral:rRNA from 1 species
GUGGGGAAUCUUAGACAAUGGGGGAAACCCUGAUCUAGCCAUGCCGCGUGAGCGAUGAAGGCCUUAGGGUUGUAAAGCUCUUUCAGCUGGGAAGAUAUUGACUGUACCAGCAGAAGAAGCCCCGGCUAACUCCGUGCCAGCAGCCGCGGUAAUACGUAGGGGGCUAGCGGUGUUCGGAAUUACUGGGCGUAAAGCGCACGUAGGCGGACCGGAAAGUCAGAUGUGAAAUCCCAGGGCUCAACCUUGGAACUGCCUUUGAAACUCCUGGGCUUGAGGUCGAGUGAGGUGAGUGGAAUUCCGAGUGUAGAGGUGAAAUUCGUAGAUAUUCGGAGGAACACCAGUGGCGAAGGCGGCUCACUGGCUCGAUACUGACGCUGAGGUGCGAAAGCGUGGGGAACAAACAGGAUUAGAUACCCUAGUAGUCC